CCUACGGGCGGCUGCAGUGGGGAAUAUUGCACAAUGGGCGCAAGCCUGAUGCAGCCAUGCCGCGUGUGUGAAGAAGGCCUUCGGGUUGUAAAGCACUUUCAGCGGGGAGGAAGGCGGUGAGGUUAAUAACCUCAUCGAUUGACGUUACCCGCAGAAGAAGCACCGGCUAACUCCGUGCCAGCAGCCGCGGUAAUACGGAGGGUGCAAGCGUUAAUCGGAAUUACUGGGCGUAAAGCGCACGCAGGCGGUCUGUCAAGUCGGAUGUGAAAUCCCCGGGCUCAACCUGGGAACUGCAUUCGAAACUGGCAGGCUAGAGUCUUGGAGAGGGGGGUAGAAUUCCAGGUGUAGCGGUGAAAUGCGUAGAGAUCGGGAGGAAUACCGGUGGCGAAGGCGGCCCCCUGGACAAAGACUGACGCUCAGGUGCGAAAGCGUGGGGAGCAAACAGGAUUAGAUACCCCGGUAGUC
rnacentral:rRNA from 1 species